AGAGUUUGAUCCUGGCUCACAACGUACGCUGGCGGCACGCCUAACACAUGCAAGUCGAACGAAGUAGCAAUACUUAGUGGCAGACGGGUGAGUAACAUGUGGGUAUCUACCCUUUGGCCUGGAAUAACACGAGGAAACUUGUGCUAAUACCGGAUAAGUCUUUACGGAGAAAGCUUUAUGCACCAUUGGAUGAGCCCGCACUUGAUUAGUUUGUUGGUAGGGUAAUGGCCUACCAAGACUAUGAUCAAUAGCUGAUUUGAGAGGAUGAUCAGCCACAUUGGGACUGAGACACGGCCCAAACUCCUACGGGAGGCAGCAGUGGGGAAUCUUGCACAAUGGAGGAAACUCUGAUGCAGCGAUGCCGCGUGAGUGAAGAAGGCCUUUGGGUUGUAAAGCUCUUUCGUCGGGGAAGAAAAUGACUGUACCCGAAUAAGAAGGUCCGGCUAACUUCGUGCCAGCAGCCGCGGUAAUACGAAGGGACCUAGCGUAGUUCGGAAUUACUGGGCUUAAAGAGUUCGUAGGUGGUUGAAAAAGUUGGUGGUGAAAUCCCAGAGCUUAACUCUGGAACUGCCAUCAAAACUUUUCAGCUAGAGUAUGAUAGAGGAAAGCAGAAUUUCUAGUGUAGAGGUGAAAUUCGUAGAUAUUAGAAAGAAUACCAAUUGCGAAGGCAGCUUUCUGGAUCAUUACUGACACUGAGGAACGAAAGCAUGGGUAGCGAAGAGGAUUAGAUACCCUCGUAGUCCAUGCCGUAAACGAUGUGUAGAGUUUGAUCCUG
rnacentral:rRNA from 1 species